CUGCUGCUCCUGCCUGAAACAUUCAAAAGUGAAGGUACGUUAAAAAAACAAAACCUAAGAAUAAAUAUGCCAUGAGAAAAACUAUUCACAUGGAAAGUGGUUCCAUAAAACAAAAGAGUCACUGGCAUGAACACCACAAAAAAAUGCAAGAAUAAUCAGUCUGAUUUUUAUUGCUUCAAAGUACCACAGUGCUGAUCCUAGGAAACCUAGAUAUAAAAUUGGAAUUUAUCAGACAAAUCAAUAGGUAGGUAUUUUCACCACAAAAUAACACAUUGUAUAAAAGGAUUCACUGGUAGCUAUUUUAAUGCAAAUGUGUUGGUUUCCAGAUCCUUAAUAUUGCUGGAAGUCACUGAACAUAAGCACCUUUGAGAAGAUAAAGUAUCUCACAUUACCAGAAGACUGGCCAUGAGCUAACAUCCAUGCCCAUCUUCCUCCACUUUACAUGGGACGCCGCCACAGCAUGGCUUGCCAAGCGGUGCGUCAGUGCACGCCCGGGAUCCGAACCAGCGAACCCCAGGCCGCCGCAGCAGAGCGGGAACUAAGAAUAAUCUGAAUCAAUUCUUCAAGGACAAAUAAAGUGCGUGUCAGAGUGUCCAUACCUUGCAUACUGAGCUGAAUAGCCCUGCGGAGAUCUGCUUCUUCAUCUUCCAUGUCAAUUUCCUGGCGACUCAGUGCCAGA